GUGGGGAAUAUUGGACAAUGGGCGAAAGCCUGAUCCAGCCAUGCCGCGUGUGUGAAGAAGGUCUUCGGAUUGUAAAGCACUUUAAGUUGGGAGGAAGGGCAGUAAGUUAAUACCUUGCUGUUUUGACGUUACCGACAGAAUAAGCACCGGCUAACUUCGUGCUAGCAGCCGCGGUAAUACGAAGGGUGCAAGCGUUAAUCGGAAUUACUGGGCGUAAAGCGCGCGUAGGUGGUUUUGUAAGUUGGAGGUGAAAUCCCCGGGCUCAACCUGGGAACUGCCUCCAAAACUGCAUGACUAGAGUACGGUAGAGGGUAGUGGAAUUUCCUGUGUAGCGGUGAAAUGCGUAGAUAUAGGAAGGAACACCAGUGGCGAAGGCGACUACCUGGACUGAUACUGACACUGAGGUGCGAAAGCGUGGGGAGCAAACAGGAUUAGAAACCCUGGUAGUCC
rnacentral:rRNA from 1 species